CAGGGAUAAAUAUCAGCGCGAGAUUCAGUUCAAGGAUUUUCCUUCAUUAGAUAUUGGAAAAGGUAAUAAGAAAAACUAUGUCCCGAUGGAAUUCUGUGUCUUGGUUGAGGGACAACGGUAUCCCAAGGAGGAUUUGGAUAAAGAUACUGCCUUGUUUCUGAAGAACAUAUCACUAGCUCGACCCCAAGAUAGAAGGCAGGCAAUUUGUGAAAUGGUACGGGCUGGAGAUGGGCCGUGCGGGGCUGUCACCCGCAAUUUUGAUAUUGGAGUUGAUAGGAACAUGACCCGUGUUCCGGGUCGUAUUCUUCCUCCCCCUGAUUUGAAGCUAGGCGGUCAAAAUCGACUUCCUGUGAAUGAUAAAUGCCAGUGGAACCUUGUUGGGAAAUCUGUGGUGGAAGGCAAGGCGCUUCAGCGAUGGGCUUUGAUAGAUUUUAGCGCUCAGGAUCGCAAACCCUUCUUUAGGCUACGAGUUGAUGAAUUUGUCUUCAGAUUGAAAGAUCGGUGCAGAAAAUUGAGUAUUAAUAUGGAAGAACCUGCUGUAGUACAUUUCACUGACAUGCAUGUACUCUCUGAAGUUGGCAAGGUUCAUAAACUUCUCGAUGGUGUGGUUAAUGCAGCUAAACGGGAAAUCAAUGGUAAACUUCAAAUGAUAGUUUGUGUUAUGACAUCAAAGCAUAAUGGGUACAAAUAUCUUAAAUGGGUAUCUGAGACACAAAUUGGCGUAGUAACCCAGUGUUGCUUGUCUACUAAUGCCAACAAGGGACAGGAUCAAUAUCUUGCAAACCUGUGUAUGAAGAUCAAUGCAAAACUUGGGGGCAGCAAUAUGGAACUUAUGGAUAGACUCCCUAAUUUUGGAAGAGAAGACAAUGUCAUGUUCAUUGGAGCUGAUGUUAAUCAUCCUGCUGCAAAGAAUGUGACAUGUCCAUCCAUAGCAGCCGUUGUUGCCACCGUCAACUGGCCAGCUGCUAAUAGAUAUGCUGCUAGAGUUUGUCCUCAGAAACACAGGACUGAGAAGAUUCUAGAGUUUGGAAAGAUGUGUGCAG
rnacentral:misc_RNA from 1 species